AUGCUCUUCGUGCUCAUCUCUCUACUGGGGAUACAUUUUGCCCUGAGAGAUACCAGAGCCCAAUCUGUGACCCAGCCUGAUGUACACAUCACUGUCUCUGAAGAAGCCUCUGUGGAGCUAAGAUGCAACUAUUCCUAUGUUAUAACACCUUAUCUCUUCUGGUAUGUUCAGUAUCCCGGCCAAGGCCUCCAGCUUCUCCUGGAGUACUAUUCAGGGGACUCCCAGGUUCAAGGCAUUAAAGGCUUUGUGGCUGACUUUGAGAAGAGUCAAUCUUCCUUUAACCUGAGGAAACCCUCUGUGCAUUGGAGUGACGCGGCUGAGUACUUCUGUGCUAUUAGUGCCACAGUGCCUGAGACUGCAGGGGGAGCUGAAUACAAACCUCCCAUGGCAGUGGAACUUUUAGAGACUCAAGAUCCCAUUCUACAGUGUUUUUAA